rnacentral:rRNA from 1 species
GUCUACGACCAUACCAUGCUGAACAUACCGGUUCUCGUCCGAUCACCGAAGUCAAGAAACAUAAGGGCCUGGUCAGUAAUUGGAUGGGAGACUGCCUUUGAAUACCGGGUGUUGUAGGCA